rnacentral:rRNA from 1 species
AGAGUUUGAUCCUUGCUCAGGAUGAACGCUGGCGGCAUGCCUAACACAUGCAAGUUGAACGUUUUUAUUGUUUACAAUAAAAAAGUAACGGACGGGUGAGUAAUGUGUAAGAAUCAACACUUAGGUGGGGGACAACAAUUGGAAACGUUUGCUAAUACCCCAUAUUGCUAUUAAGUAAAAGACUUGUCGCCUAAGUAUGAGCUUGCAUCUGAUUAGCUAGUUGGUAGGGUAAUAGCUUACCAAGGCAACGAUCAGUAGCUGGUCUUAGAGGAUGAUCAGCCACACUGGGACUGAGACACGGAACAGACUCCUACGGGAGGCAGCAGUGAGGAAUUUUCCGCAAUGGGUGAAAGCCUGACGGAGCAAUGCCGCGUGGAGGAAGAAUGCCUUAGGGUUGUAAACUCCUUUUCUCAUUGAAGAAGUUCUGACGGUAUUUGAGGAAUAAGCAUCGGCUAACCCCGUGCCAGCAGCCGCGGUAAUACGGGGGAUGCAAGCGUUAUCCGGAAUUAUUGGGCGUAAAGAGUUUGUAGGUUGUUAAAUAUGUCUAAUGUUAAAUAUCAGAGCUUAACUUUGAAAUGGCAUUAGAAACUAUUAGACUUGAGUAUGAUAGAAGCAAAGGGAAUUCCCAGUGUAGCGGUGAAAUGCGUAGAUAUUGGGAGGAACACCAACGGCGAAGGCACUUUGCUAGGUUAAUACUGACACUGAGAAACGAAAGCUAAGGUAAUGAAAAGGAUUAGAGACCCUUGUAGUCUUAGCCGUAAACAAUGGAUACUAAGUGGUGCUUCUUUGUUUGUACUGCUGUAGUUAACACGUUAAGUAUCCCGCCUGGGGAGUACGCUUGCAAAAGUGAAACUCAAAGGAAUUGACGGGGGCCCGCACAAGCGGUGGAGCAUGUGGUUUAAUUCGUCGCAACACGAAGAACCUUACCAGGGCUUGACAUGCUAGGAAGUUCCUUGAAAGAGGGAUGUGCCUUUGGGAACCUAGACACAGGUGGUGCAUGGCUGUCGUCAGCUCGUGUCGUGAGAUGUUGGGUUAAGUCCCGCAACGAGCGCAACCCUCGUUUUUAGUUAAUAUAACUUCUAGAAAGACUGCUGGUUAUAAACCGGAGGAAGGUGAGGAUGAGGUCAAGUCAUCAUGCCCUAUAUGCCCUGGGCUACACACGUGCUACAAUGGUUAAGACAAUGAGUUGCUAAUCUGUGAAGACACGCUAAUCUCAUAAACUUAAUCUUAGUUCGGAUUGUAGGCUGCAACUCGCCUACAUGAAGGUGGAAUCGCUAGUAAUCGCCGGUCAGCUAUACGGCGGUGAAUCCGUUCCCGGGCCUUGUCCACACCGCCCGUCACACCAUGGAAGCUGGCCAUGCCUGAAGGUGUUAUCUUAACUUUUUAAGAGAGAAAUACUUAAGGCCGGGUUAGUGACUGGGGUGAAGUCGUAACAAGGUAGCCGUACUGGAAGGUGCGGCUGGAACAACU